CCUACGGGCGGCUGCAGUGGGGGAUAUUGCACAAUGGGGGGAACCCUGAUGCAGCGACGCCGCGUGGGUGAAGGAGUAUUUCGGUAUGUAAAGCCCUAUCGGCAGGGAAGAAUUUAGACGGUACCUGACUAAGAAGCCCCGGCUAACUACGUGCCAGCAGCCGCGGUAAUACGGGGGGGGCAAGCGUUAUCCGGAUUCACUGGGGGUAAGGGGAGCGUAGACGGUCAGGGAAGCGUGGAGUGAAAGCCCGGGGCCCAACCCCGGGAGUGCCCUGGGGACUGUCCGGAUGGAGUGCGUGAGGGGCAGGCAGAAUUCCUGGUGUAGCGGUGAAAUGCGUAGAUAUGAGGAGGAACACCGGCGGCGAAGGCGGCCUGCUGGACCGCGACUGACGUUGAGGCUCGAAAGCGUGGGGAGCGAACAGGAUUAGAUACCCCUGUAGUC
rnacentral:rRNA from 1 species